AAAGAUUAAGCCAUGCAUGUCUAAGUAUAAGCAAUUAUACCGUGAAACUGCGAAUGGCUCAUUAAAUCAGUUAUCGUUUAUUUGAUAGUACCUUACUACUUGGAUAACCGUGGUAAUUCUAGAGCUAAUACAUGCUAAAAACCCCAACUUCGGGAGGGGUGUAUUUAUUAGAUAAAAAACCAAUGCCCCUCGGGGCUCCUUGGUGAUUCAUGAUAACUUCUCAGAUCGCAUAGCCUUGUGCUGGCGACGGUUCAUUCAAAUUUCUGCCCUAUCAACUUUCGAUGGUGAGGUAUUGGCUUACCAUGGUUUCAACGGGUAACGGGGAAU
rnacentral:rRNA from 1 species